UGUUUGAUGUUCUAACGUUGGCCCCUGAUCGGGGUUGCGGACAGUGUCUGGUGGGUAGUUUGACUGGGGCGGUCUCCUCCUAAAGAGUAACGGAGGAGCACGAAGGUUGGCUAAUCCUGGUCGGACAUCAGGAGGUUAGUGCAAUGGCAUAAGCCAGCUUGACUGCGAGCGUGACGGCGCGAGCAGGUGCGAAAGCAGGUCAUAGUGAUCCGGUGGUUCUGAAUGGAAGGGCCAUCGCUCAACGGAUAAAAGGUACUCCGGGGAUAACAGGCUGAUACCGCCCAAGAGUUCAUAUCGACGGCGGUGUUUGGCACCUCGAUGUCGGCUCAUCACAUCCUGGGGCUGAAGUAGGUCCCAAGGGUAUGGCUGUUCGCCAUUUAAAGUGGUACGCGAGCUGGGUUUAGAACGUCGUGAGACAGUUCGGUCCCUAUCUGCCGUGGGCGCUGGAGAACUGAGGGGGGCUGCUCCUAGUACGAGAGGACCGGAGUGGACGCAUCACUGGUGUUCGGGUUGUCAUGCCAAUGGCACUGCCCGGUAGCUAAAUGCGGAAGAGAUAAGUGCUGAAAGCAUCUAAGCACGAAACUUGCCCCGAGAUGAGUUCUCCCUGAGACUUUAAGUCUCCUGAAGGAACGUUGAAGACGACGACGUUGAUAGGCCGGGUGUGUAAGCGCAGCGAUGCGUUGAGCUAACCGGUACUAAUGAACCGUGAGGCUUAACCUU
rnacentral:rRNA from 1 species